rnacentral:rRNA from 1 species
GACGAACGCUGGCGGCGUGCUUAACACAUGCAAGUCGAACGAAGAGCGACGGAAGCUUGCUUCUAUCAAUCUUAGUGGCGAACGGGUGAGUAACGCGUAAUCCACCUGCCCUUGAGAGGGGGACAACAGUGGGAAACGACUGCUAAUACCGCAUACGAUCGAACCUCGGGAUCGAGGAGAGAUGAAAGGUGGCCUCGACAUGUAAGCUAUCACUCAAGGAGGGGAGUGCGUCUGAUUAGCUAGCUGUCGGGGUAACGGCCCAUCAAGGGGAGGAUCAGUAGCCGGUCUGCGAGGGUGCACGGCCCCAUUGGGGAUGGGACACCGCCCCGACUCCUCCGGGGGGCAGCAGUGGGGAAUCUUCCGCGAUGGGGGGAAGUCUGACGGAGCAACGCCGCGUGAGUGAUGACGGCCUUCGGGUUGUAAAGCUCUGUUAAUCGGGACGAAAGGCCUUCUUGCGAAUAGUGAGAAGGAUUGACGGUACCGGAAUAGAAAGCCACGGCUAACUACGUG